rnacentral:rRNA from 1 species
GAUGAACGCUGGCGGCGUGCCUAAUACAUGCAAGUCGAGCGAACAGACGAGGAGCUUGCUCCUCUGACGUUAGCGGCGGACGGGUGAGUAACACGUGGAUAACCUACCUAUAAGACUGGGAUAACUUCGGGAAACCGGAGCUAAUACCGGAUAAUAUAUUGAACCGCAUGGUUCAAUAGUGAAAGACGGUUUUGCUGUCACUUAUAGAUGGAUCCGCGCCGCAUUAGCUAGUUGGUAAGGUAACGGCUUACCAAGGCAACGAUGCGUAGCCGACCUGAGAGGGUGAUCGGCCACACUGGAACUGAGACACGGUCCAGACUACUACGGGAGGCAGCAGUAGGGAAUCUUCCGCAAUGGGCGAAAGCCUGACGGAGCAACGCCGCGUGAGUGAUGAAGGUCUUCGGAUCGUAAAACUCUGUUAUUAGGGAAGAACAAAUGUGUAAGUAACUAUGCACGUCUUGACGGUACCGAAUCAGAAAGCCACGGCUAACUACGUG